rnacentral:lncRNA from 1 species
AUUUUGUUUUCUUCAUAACAUUUCCCUGUCUGAAAUUAUUUUAUUCAUGUGGUAUCAUUUAAGUGCUUAUUAUCUCUCUCACCCUGCUCCCAUCACCACUGGAGUAAAAGCUAUGGUUCUGUGAAGGGAAAGAACUGCACAACACUCCUGAUAUUCAAAUCCACUGUGAGGGAGGGGACCUCCAUACCCUGAUCAUAGCAGAGGCCUUUGAGGACGACACAGGUCGCUACACCUGUUUGGCUACGAAUCCCAGCGGCUCAGACACAACAUCUGCUGAGGUGUUCAUUGAAGGUGCCAGUUCAACAGAUUCUGACAGUGAAAGUUUAGCUUUCAAAUCAAGAGCUGGAGCUAUGCCACAAGCUCAAAAGAAAACAACUUCUGUUUCCUUGACAAUAGGAUCAUCAUCUCCAAAGACAGGGGUGACCACAGCUGUGAUUCAACCACUGUCUGUCCCUGUGCAACAGGUUCACAGUCCAACUUCAUAUCUCUGCCGACCUGAUGGAACCACUACUGCCUACUUUCCUCCUGUUUUUACAAAGGAACUGCAAAACACAGCCGUGGCGGA